AACGAACGCUGGCGGCGCGUCUUAAGCAUGCAAGUCGAGCGGCAAGGGCAGCAAUGCCCCUAGAGCGGCGGACUGGUGAGUAACACGUGGGUGACCUAGCCUUUGGAUGGGGAUAGCCGCUAGAAAUAGCGGGUAAUACCGAAUGUGGAUAUCCGGUUAUGACUGGGUAUAGAAAGGAGCUACGGCUCCGCCAGAGGAUGGGCCCGCGCCCCAUUAGCUAGUUGGUGAGGUAAGAGCCCACCAAGGCUCUGAUGGGUAGCCGGACUGAGAGGUUGAACGGCCACACUGGGACUGAGAUACGGCCCAGACUCCUACGGGAGGCAG
rnacentral:rRNA from 1 species